rnacentral:tRNA from 1 species
GCCCCCUUAGUAUAAUCUGUACAAGUGACUUCCACUCACUAAGCCUUAGCAACCUACUAAGAGGGGGCA